CGGCGGAGUUUGCUGGCCCGGUGCAGACCGAGAACUCCUUCCUGGCGGCCCUGAUGGCCUCCCUCAUCGCGCAGUGCACCGAGCACGCGAGAAGCAGAGGUGGCUCACCCGAUGCUGCAAACAGAGAGCCACGGGAUGUCAGUCAGGGAGAGGAUGAAAAUUGCUGGAGAAGGCUCACCCUUCGAAGAGAGGACACGCUUCUGGUCACGGGCGCUGUUGAUCAGCUCGACGUUGAACUGCUUUGGGAUGGUGUCAACCGUGGGGAUCUUGUAUGUCCAUGUGCCAUCGUUGAUGACCAUGCCAUCGGCAUUUGUUGCAUACUCCUCAUUUGUGAAGAAGCCCACUCCUUGGACAAAUGCACCUUCCACCUGAGUUAAUCAAGAUUCAAAACCAGUGUUCGGAGGAGGAGCACAUUUCCAUUCAUGCAGUGAUGUGCACAAGCAGUUAGUAGUUCAGGACUAACCUGGCCCAAGUCUACUGCUGGGUUCAGGCUUUGCCCGCAAUCGUACACGAGGUCACUUCUUAGAAUUGUUGUUGCUCCUGUUAGGACAUCAACUUCCACCUGUGGUCAAGUUUUGAAUCAUUUUUCAGCAAUGAGCAUGACCGAAGCUGCAGCCUUCGACAAUUUAGCUUGGUAACUGCAUCUGCAGUGUUGUUAUUGCAAUUUGGAUCAGGGAUACCUCACUAAUGGCAGCUCCAUAGUUCAAAUAGCUUCCAAAUGAUGGAUCAGGGCUCCAGUAUGCAUGUGCGGAUAAGUUCACACUUGCCCUACUUGCCUGCAUGCGAGGGGGGAAAAUGCCAUGAACAAUUGGAAGUGUCAGAUACUGUGCACAAUUGAGCUCACCACUGAAGUAGCAGUAGCACUUUAAAGUUUAUUGAGGAACAAAUGUCAUGCACAAUUGAUAUCACCGCUAAAGUGCUACUGCUAGUGCUUGUAGUUUAUUGAUGACAUAAAGGAGGAAGAGAAGAUUAAAGCUA